ACAGUGGCGGUCCCGCCGCAGCUUCCAUUGCGUAGUAGCUAACACCUCGCAACUGGAGAGCGGCGCGGCCACGCCGUAAAACACCCAACUUCUGAAUGUUGACCUCGAAUCAGGUAGGAAUACCCGCUGAACUUAAGCAUAUCAAUAAGCGGAGGAAAAGAAACCAACAGGGAUUGCCCCAGUAACGGCGAGUGAAGCGGCAACAGCUCAAAUUUGAAAUCUGGCUCUCGGGCCCGAGUUGUAAUUUGUAGAGGAUGCUUUUGGUGAGGUGCCUUCCGAGUUCCCUGGAACGGGACGCCAUAGAGGGUGAGAGCCCCGUCUGGUUGGACACCGAUCCUCUGUAAAGCUCCUUCGACGAGUCGAGUAGUUUGGGAAUGCUGCUCUAAAUGGGAGGUAUAUGUCUUCUAAAGCUAAAUACCGGCCAGAGACCGAUAGCGCACAAGUAGAGUGAUCGAAAGAUGAAAAGAACUUUGAAAAGAGAGUUAAACAGUACGUGAAAUUGUUGAAAGGGAAGCGCUUGUGACCAGACUUGGGCUUGGUUGAUCAUCCGGGGUUCUCCCCGGUGCACUCUUCCGGCYCAGGCCAGCAUCAGUUCGCCCUGGGGGAYAAAGGCUUCGGGAA
rnacentral:rRNA from 1 species